rnacentral:rRNA from 1 species
AUUGAACGCUGGCGGCAGGCCUAACACAUGCAAGUCGAACGAGUGGCGGACGGGUGAGUAAUGUCUGGGAAACUGCCCGAUGGAGGGGGAUAACUACUGGAAACGGUAGCUAAUACCGCAUACCAUCGGAGGUGCCCAGAUGGGAUUAGCUAGUAGGUGGGGUAACGGCUUACCUAGGCGACGAUCCCUAGCUGGUCUGAGAGGAUGCCCCGCCACACUGGAACUGAGACACGGUUCAGACUCCUACGGGAGGCAGCAGUGGGGAAUAUUGCACAAUGGGCGCAAGCCUGAUUCAGCCCUGCCGCGUGUUUGAAGAAGGCCUUCGGGUUGUAAAGUACUUUCAGCGAGGAGGCGUUACUCGCAGAAGAAGCACCGGCUAACUCCGUGCCAGCAGCCGCGGUAAUAC